GACGAACGCUGGCGGCGUGCUUAAUACAUGCAAGUCGAACGGAAAGGCCCUGCUUUUGUUGGUUUCUCGAUUGCCGAACGGGUGAGUAACACGUGAGUAACCUCCCCUUGACUUUCGGAUAACUUCUGGAAACUGGGGCUAAUACCGGAUAGGAGCUCCUGCUCCAUGGUGGGGGUUGGAAAGUUUCGGCGGUUGGGGCUGGACUCGCAGCUUAUCAGCUUGUUUGUGGGGUAGUGGUUUACCAAGGCUUUGACGGGUAGGCUGCCUGAGAGGGUGACCGGGCACAAGAGGCCUGAGGGACGGCGCAGAAGCCUACGGGACGCAGCAGUGGGGAGUAUUACGCAAUAAGCGGGAGCCAGAUGUAGAAAUGUCGCGUGCGGGAUAAUGGGUUUCGAGUUGUGAACCGAUGUCGACUGUGACGAGGAGUGAGUGACGGUAAUGGGUAAGGAAGCAACGGCUAACUACGUG
rnacentral:rRNA from 1 species